UGGGCGCAAGCCUGAUGCAGCGACGCCGCGUGAGGGAUGACGGCCUUCGGGUUGUAAACCUCUUUCAGCAGGGACGAAGCGCAAGUGACGGUACCUGCAGAAGAAGCACCGGCCAACUACGUGCCAGCAGCCGCGGUAAUACGUAGGGUGCGAGCGUUGUCCGGAAUUACUGGGCGUAAAGAGCUCGUAGGUGGUUUGUCGCGUUGUUCGUGAAAACUCACAGCUUAACUGUGGGCGUGCGGGCGAUACGGGCAGACUGGAGUACUGCAGGGGAGACUGGAAUUCCUGGUGUAGCGGUGGAAUGCGCAGAUAUCAGGAGGAACACCGGUGGCGAAGGCGGGUCUCUGGGCAGUAACUGACGCUGAGGAGCGAAAGCGUGGGGAGCGAACAGGAUUAGAUACCCUGGUAGUCCACGCCGUAAACGGUGGGUACUAGGUGUGGGUUUCCUUCCUUGGGAUCCGUGCCGUAGCUAACGCAUUAAGUACCCCGCCUGGGGAGUACGGCCGCAAGGCUA
rnacentral:rRNA from 1 species